AGAAAAGUUAAGCAGAGCAAAAGCUGAUUUAUUUGAUAACUAUUAGAAUUGUUUUUAAGAUGAGUGCCCGUUAUGUUGAAACGAGAAAACAUAUAACUUAUGUAUUACUGUAAGCUGUAGCACUUAACUCUAAUUUUAAAUAAUUAUACUUUGAGGCGGCGCUGCCAGCUUCCAAUUAAUGCAAAUGCAGAUGCAGAUGCCGAUGCCGAUGCCAGUCAGGGUUGAUUUUGGUCCAUAUUUCGUGUAACCGUUUCAUCAUUUCCAUUGUUCAGGCCAGGCCCCUCAGGUCUGCACCCGUGUACGCAUAGAUAUACAUAUAUACCAUACCUACAUAAUAUACAACUCGAAACGAGAGCGCACCAAUAAUAUACAUACUAUAAAGAGUACGAGUAUAGUAUUUCGAUUCAAUUGUAUGCCGAUAGUUUAUCAAAUCAGAUCUAUGAAAUAUGUAUCUAAAAAUUUGCUUAGGAAAAGGACAGCGGAUCGCCCUCCUUCCUGCGUAGCUCCGUGAAUCGUAUUGUGUGUUUUAACCGAACCAAACCAAACCGAAUCGAAUCGAAUUGAUUCGACUCGACUCGACAGAAUUCAACGUGGAAGGAGGCACCUGUAAUUAUAUAUAUAUAUAUAUGUAUGUAAAUGAUAUAUGUAUAUUAGUUUGCAUUUGUGUCGUUGCCUAGCCUUCGGUUAGCUAAAUUGUUCUGGAAUUUUCCUCUUCACCGAUUGUUUCUGUUUCGCACCAAAUUGUUAAUGAAUUAACUUAUGUAAAGCAGACAGAAUAUAACCUAUUGCAGCUGUCGAUCGGUGAGCGGUGAGCGGUGGCGGGUCGAGAGUAGAUUGCUCAGAUCCGACCCGACCCGAUCCGAUCCAAAUGCAAAUGUAAAUAAGUCAAGUUAAACAAUUAAGCAUCACACACCAGACAAACAGAGGAGGAAGAUGAGGAGGAGAAGACGAUGAAAGGAGGCGACACUUAAAGGAAUAUAUAAACUAUAAUAAUAGCCUCCCUCUUUAUACAUAUAUAAAUAUAUAUAUAUAUAUAUUUAAUACGAGUAAUCAAAAGUUAAAUUGUAACCCCCCAAAAGUAUUGCACAUAUGUAUGUAUUCUAUAUUCUUUCCAAAUUGAAUUGCAAUUCCUGUUUUUUUUGUGUGUCAUUUUUGUUGUUAAACCGCUUUUAAAUGUACAUGAAUGCGAUUAGUCCAGCAAGAAUUAAAUUUUAUAUACAAUACUUGGUAGCCCCUUUAUUCUAACCCUCUAACCCCUUGAUAUCAAUUCAAUUAUGGCGGAGUCAGAGCAAGUAGCCCCCGCAGUGGCAGGGAUCGCUGAAACUCCCUCGAUCCAGGCUCUGUGCCGACCUCCAAAAAGGAUUGAUGGGGGUCUGCUCUUCUGGUCUAUACAUAGUAUAACAUGCAUACAUAUAUGAAAUUCAAUUAAUGAUAAUUACAUUUUACGGAUUUGCGUGUGUAUUUAUUGUUCAAGUACAAGUCAAAAGCAAAAGCAAAAACAAAACAAAACAUAAAAUACAAGUAAACUACAUUUAAACCUAAUAACAUUGUUUUCAAAUUUGAAUUAUACUCUGGUAUGAGUCGGUCCAUGAAGCCGAAAUCAAUAAAAAUUUACUAUAUAAACUAUAAAAGUACUGUGGAUAUGCUAUACUUCUCCUGGUUAGAGGGCAAACGCUUCCAGAGGAUACUUCUGCUUGUAGAGUGUCCCCCAGACGCCUGUUUUCGAUCCUCCUGCAAAGCUCAACAAGGAACGCAGUUUCUCUUCUGCUCUGUUGUUACCGUUAUCCCGAUGGCCGAUGGCGGAUGGCGGAUGGUAAACAAACUGGGCGACAAGCUAACCGUCCUCUUUCCUCGCCCGCCUUCGCUGGGGGUGAACUUUUGACAGCUGAUACAGUUAGCUUUUACUCGCACUCGCACUCGCUCUUUCUGACUUUGUUUUGUUUUGGGGCAGUAACUCAGCCACUAGCCAGCACAUGCGCCGUCUCCUCAGAGCUCUCUCUCUUUCGCUCUCUCUCUCUCGCUCUUUGUCGCUCUCCCCCCGCGUCUGCCUAGAAAAGGGGGCAAAGGAAGGCGGCUCGAAACUUCGCUGCAGAGUUGUCAGAAGCCGAAGGGCCGUCAGUCGGGAGAGUUUGUUGCGCGGCGCAUUUCCUGCCACACGAGAAAGAGAGAGACAGAAGGGAACAAGAAUUUUCCUGGCUGCUGCUCCUGCCAGAUCCGAAUCGGGAGGAAACAUUAAAGUGUAAAAUAUUACGGACGGAGACCUGGCGAAGAGUGCCUGCCAGUGUGCCGGACGGGGAGGUGGCGAAAACCAGGCGAAAAAGGCAAAUCAAAUCAAAAGCAAGCCGUGGAAAAAUUCCCCAACCCGUGUGUGUCCCGUGCCCGUGUCCGUGUGGGUCUGGCUGUGGGUGUGGGUGUC